rnacentral:sRNA from 1 species
AAACCACAGGUUGAGAACGAGUACCCCAAGGGAAGGUGAUGAAAGUUUAUGGCUUAACUUUUGAGGCCUCUGCCCUUAGAGAGAUAGUAAAGAGCUACAGAGCCAAACUGGGCAAGGCCUGGUAAAGAGUGCUUUCAAGAGAGCCAUACUGCAGGAUGGAUGUCAGAGUUCCCCAAAGAAACAGGGUGUUAGGUCACUGCACUCGCUCUUUGAAGCAUAAUAGUAACUUGUCCUGGCGGAGACACAGGGACAAAUGAGUCAUUACUAAGAUAAGAAAAGUAGACCUCUGCAACUUAAAAGAUGUAGGAAAUCUGUUCAAAGGCAGGAUGAAUCCAACCCACGGUUUUUCUGAGUAACCGAGUGAUGCUCUUAGCAUUGUUUUGAAGAACACUAUAAUCAAUAGUGAAGUGGGACUUACAAGUUCCCCCAACUGUUCACACUAGGACUUUUUAGUCAUCCCUGUUAGAGAGAUGACUAUGUGAUAAAAGCCCAACAAAAUGAUAUACAGGAAUACAGAGAUCAUAGGAACUGCCCUUACACUUCCCAGGCUUUGAAAGACCCUAACCUACAGGUCUGAAGAUGAAUUCUGGAGCCUUGCCAAGUCACCUUCUAGCUUCAUUCACUUUAGAAAUCACGUAUCCAUUUACAGCUCUCCAUCUCUUUGCCCAGCCAUUGGCUGUAUGGUAGUACUUUAUUACCAAUCGAAGCCAGCUGGGGGCCAGGACCUUCAACCAAUUCCCAACAUAAGAUCAUAUAUAAUUGGCACUGUCAAUUAUAUAUGUGCCACAGAUCUAUGGGUCAUCUGGAAAGCUGUGCUCCUCUGAGCGAAGCUUCUGUUGGGAUCUUUAAGCAUCUGGAGGCACUGUACUGAGAGCUUAUGGAGCACGGUCUCCAUCACCAGUGCUGUCUGCACUGUGCCUCUCCUGUCUCACACAGUCUUGUGCAUGUGGAACAACAGAUAUUUUAGACAAAGCCUCCCUACCAUCCUUGCCCCAAAGUGAGCAAGUCAAAACGAGCCACCAGAGUAGAAGCCAGGCAGAGGGUCGCAGUUGUUUCCACACUAUGUCAUGUGGCACUUCUUGAGCAUGAGAGCUUGAAAGCUACGACUGUGAGGUUAUUUGUAAGUCCCAUAUAGGUGGACUUUCCUAAGGUUAUUUUUAGGUAAAUGUUUGCCCUGCCUAAUUUACAGUACUGCUGAAAGAGUCCUUUAUUUCUGAAUCCACCAUAGAUUAAAUGGGAAGGCUUUGGAGAUACAAGGAACCAAAUGCUUCACCGCAAACAGAAUUACUUCUGUUAUAAUUAUAUAUUUGGAUACACACUUGCAGGAGCAGGAUUCUCACCCAUCUGAGGGACCUGUACAAGGAGACAGGACAGACAACACAGAGAAGAGCCUCCAUUCCUGCUUGGUUAUGGCUCAGCCGUUAAAUGCUAGGCUCACAACCAAAAAUAUAAGAAAACUGAAUAAACACAAUCCUUAUCCUCGCUCCCACUCAUAACUGCCUGUUGCCAGUGGCAACACGCUGUGCUUCAAUCACCAGCUUGGGAUCAUGCUUGCCAUGGCUCAGACGCACAGCCUCCCACCUGACCUGAUCUACAUACGUGUCUUUCAGAGGGAUUUUAAGCAAAUUACCCUGGUUUCGUCCCCCUUCAGAAUGGAGAAAGAGUUUAGGAAACUGGUAACAGGAUUUCAUGUAAUGGAACAUGUUGACCUUGAAUAAGUUGGAGGUGAACAUCUGUGUGACCAUUGUCACUAGAGUUUCCUUGAGCAUACAGUCAAACUACGGCCCAUCACUAUCUAUUUAAGUAGAUACAUAUGACAGGGUUUUGGUUUUUUGUUUUGUUUUUUUGUGUUUUUUUUUUUUGGUUUUUUUUGGGUUUUUUUUUUUGGUUUUUUUUUUUUUGUUACUGGAAUACAAAUGCCUUCACAGGGCUUAAUGCAGCAUUCAUCAAACUAAUACCUACUAGCCAUACUGGACCAAUAAAGUUUUAUUCAAACACUGCAUAAUGUACAGUGCUGGCUAGCUCCAGAAAAAAAAAGUCAAUUUAACAGACAAUGGGUGGGCCACAUAGUCUAAAAUAGGUAUUAUAUCUCCCUUACACUAAGGUAUAAAUUGAUCUAUUAUUUGGGAUGUGUUAAAAAUGAAUAUUUGCUUGAGUCUUUUCCUUAUCAACUAUCUGAAAGAGACCAAACAAGUAGUAAGGCUAUGAUUAAAAAGGUUCAGAAAUUUUAUUUCUAAAUGACUGCAUAAAAUUGAUGCUUCUGUCCCAUUUCCCACUCUCUUGAGACACAUAAUAUGGACAAAAAUUGUCACAGUAUUGUUCUAUAGCACUGAGAUGUGAGGAGUGCUUGUCAUGGCCACUAACACCAAGAGGCAAAGCAUGUUACUUUAUAUAAAUAUGACAUUCGAAAAUUGAGUAAUUGUAGCACAGAAAACUCAAGUUAUGUAAGACUUACAUUAAAGAUUGGAAAGGUCAGGAGUGAUGGCUGAGAAUGAACACAGAGAGUUCCAAACCAGCCUUUAAGUCCUCCUCGUGGGAUACGAAUUGAGGAAGAUUGAAGUUUCAAGCCCAGAAGACUCACCCCUGUUAUUCAUCACUAUCUCUCCCAUUUGUAUUAUUAUCAAAGGCUACACUGUUUUUUGUUGAAAUUUGAACAUUCAAGAAAAUCCUUAGUUAUUCUACAUUAGGAGCAGCUUUACUUUAUACCAUUUUAAAGGGAGUCCAGACAAAGAAAUCCAAAACCUAUAUGUCUUCUCUCCAGACAUCCAUUGUCCUGGGAUUAUUGGAAAUGGUUAUGCAAAGACCAUGAGACUAAAUCUUCCAAGAGGUAUUGAGACCCUAGUCUCUGCGAUAGAUACAGAAGACAAGACGCCUGCCCGUCCACAGGGUCUUCCAUCCUGCCCUGUUGCCUCCCUUUGACUGUGAGUCACUUCCCCUGAAAGCUCUUCAGAACCAUUUAAGAUCCAACCUUGUUUGUCUUCUCUGCAUCAACUGCAAGCAACGGAUGCCUAGGAGACACUCAUUCCACUCAAGUCCAAGUUUAACUUUACACAGCUCUCUCCCCUACCAGGUUCCAGGCUGGGACCAUUCCUGGGCAUGAUAUCUACACUACAGAAUAUGUUCACUACAUAUUUGUGGAAUUAAUAAGAAAACUGUAUGUCAGGCCAGUGUGUCCCAAAAGCUGGUGAAGAGCUACGAUCGCUUAAGAAACACAUGGAGAACAGUGAUUCUCCAGAACUAUGACCAUGAACCUGCAUCCUUCACCCAUGAUGGCAGGGAACCGAAUUAUGUGUUCCAAGCUAAGUAAUGAACUUUGCAGUUCCAGGACCAAUGCAAUGGUCCUCUCCUCUGGGAGACCCACCAAGGACUGUAAAGAGCAGAAAUUAGGUGAACACCACAGCCAGCCCAGGAGCCAAGCCACCUUUUUGGGGGGUCUCACAUAUGGCAAGAGUGAUGUAGAUUUGGGAGCUGAAAUAAAGGCUUAGAGUCAUUGCUCUAAGAGGUUUGUAUCCUUAGAAGUUAAGCAAGAGAGUUGAUUUGCAAAAUGAAACGUGUAUUAGUACGUACUAAAAUGAAAUAUUAAUAUAAGAAUUUUGUGAAGAAGUGUUAAAGAGAUAUUUUUUAUUAUGUAUCUGUUUAGUGUAUGGGUGAAUGUGUUUUACUCUGUGUGUGUGUGUGUGUGUGUGUGUGUGUGUGUGGUGUGUAGUGUCUGUGUACAGUGUGUGUGCAGUUUUUAUGCAAUGUGUGCAGACACACACACAUGUUUGAGCUCACAUAUCCAGGCCAGGGAUAACUUGUAGAAAUCAGUCCUCUCCUUUGGCCAUAUGACAUCCAGAGUUUCAACUCAGUUCAGUAGGCUUAAGAGCAAGCAUCUUUAUCCCUGGAGCUACCCAGCCAGCCAGCCUGCCCUCAGGGUAAACGUCAAAUCCUACAGCCAGAGAAGGCGAUAUUGAAAAGCAGCACUGCAUGAAGGUCAGGGAGAAGGGGUUGAAAGAAAGAGUAGCUGAACAGAGCCUUAGAGGGUGGGCAUUUUUCUUUCAGGUGUACAAACAGGAGACCAAACAGCCAAGCAUCAUCAGUGGAUGACAUAAAUAAUGGCUAGGGAGGGGCACGCCUUUCAUUUAGGACCUUUCCCCCCAGUAUAAGUUCUGUUUCCUUCUAAUGACAUGGAAAGCCUGUGGAGGUCUGAGUAGAGAAGAAACAGGCGCCCACUUAGCUUUUAAUGGUAUCCCUGUAGCUAGCAUAUUGGAAUUAAAAUGAAUUGGGGGCAAGAUUAGAACAAAGAAAUCUUAGAAAAACUCUUGUUUUAGUGCAUGCUUGAGAUGAUGUCACAUCAGACCAAAUAUAGUGGUGAGUGCUUAGAUUCCAGUGACAUUUUGAAGUCAGCACCAACAGGCUUUGAUUCUAGAUCAUGGAAGAGGGAAUUCAAAGAGAGUUCCAAAGGUUGGGGCUAAACAACCAGAACAGGAAAAUGCAGUUUGCUGAGAUGUAUAACACAGGAAAGUGAACAGAAGGGGGUUAGAUGACAGCUUCAUUGGGGAUCUGAUUGAACUGGGGAAGUGGAGUGUUUCUUUCCUUCUGUCUUUCUCUGCUUUUGGCUUCCAGUGUCCUAUCUUGAGUUUCUGACUUCCAAAGAAAGAGUUAAGAAUUACACUUCUGAAAUUGCUCUUCGAAACCAUGAGGCACUGUGGAGGGACUGUUGUCAGCAUUUACACGUGGAAACCCCAGCAUGGUGCCAUCAACCCCAAGGAGAGCUUUUCCUCUGGCUUUUGGGAACUUGGGAAAGGAAACAGGAUUUCACAGCAGCCUCGGGGCUCUUGGCCAGGGCAGCACAGGGUAGAUUCUUUGCAGGCUACUCUAGUGCCCUUGCUGGAAACCCUCACAGUCUAAGCUCUUGCAAAUGGAACCUCCCAUCAUUAAAUCAUAACCUAAGGGGACACAGAGUAACAACCAACCGACUGCUCAUGCCUACCUCUCUUUGCCCAGAAAGCAAACGCAUUAAGAGCAGCCGCAGAAACUAUGAUUUCAACGGAGAGGAUCUGAAACCUGUGGAUUUCCUCUUUAAGGAAACCUCGCAACCCAUCUCCCAUAUCCAGCUCAUCUCAAAAACCACCAACUCUGUCCUCACCACUCCCUGCCAUCAAAUCCUGGUAGGAACAGCUGUCACCACAAAAGUCAUACUGGGCCAGGACAGCCAGCUGGCUCAGUAAUUCACAAACAAACUAACCUUGAAUUUUAUUUUGAGCAGUAGGGCUAGCUAGCCCCUUGUGUUCUUUAGAACCAUCUCUGUUUUUACUCUUUGAUAAACAAACACCAACUCAAAUGUCAUUUUGGGCUGUAUUGUGGGGUUUCAAGGCCAUUACCCCAUAUUGCUUUCUUUGCUGCAAGUCUUUACAUUAGCAUACAAAACACUGGGUUAGCUUAUGACAAUUUUGUACUCGCUUUGUUCUUAUUCAUUUCCACCCUCACUCCGCCUCCACCCUCCACCCCCAUCACAAAAGAUGCUAUAGUCUUCUGAAGUCUCCCUUCAUAAUGAAAAGCCUUUAAAUCUCGACAGUGUGGAGACUUGAGCAACCUAACUCCAACCUGAACUCUGAUGCUCAGGGAGAGAGGCUCCUAAACUCUUGUUCUAGUAACAAUUUAGUGAUCAUUUUUCACAGCAUAGACAGAAGUCAUGCAACUGGCAGAUGACAUAAUCCGGUAUUUUAAAAGAUGUGAGGCAUCAACAAGUGGAUGUGUUGCUGCACAGCACCACCUACUGGCCGGAUGUGGAACGACACGAAUGAGAAAGAAAAUCUGAGCGAACCCCAGAACCACCUAGAAACUGGAGAUGUGGGAAAGAGGGAGAUAAAGAGGAAGGAAUGAAUUUAGACAACUGUUCAUAAAAGUCUAUAUUCUACUGAUGCAGAAGCUGAGCUCAGAGCACCUAAUAACGUUCACAAAUGGAGCAAAGGCCCAACAGAUGUCCUUAGAGGGGAACCCAUUUUCACAUUGUCCAAGUUUAAAAUAAUGACUCUUCUGUAAAAGUCAAGAAUAGAUAUAUAAGUAACAUAACAAAGAGGCCAGAAACUAAUUAUCACAUCAGUCCACUUCAUUAGGGACAAUGCUUCAAAGUUGUUUAGACAAAUGUCAGUAUUUGAAACACUGCAUUUGACAAGUAUACAAAAUACAUAAUUUAAUGUUAUACUUAAUACCUUGUAUGCAACUAAAAUUAAUAUCUUAUAUUUAAAUAAAAUGUGACUAUAAAACUUUACAAAGAAAAGCGAAAGAGAAAAUUCUUUGUGGUCUUUGGCUAGGGAUAAGAAGUCUUAUAUGUGACAGCAAAAGUGCAGUAAUUAAAGAGAAAGUUAAUGGGCAGAUAGUAUUAAUAGUACAGAAACACUCAACCAGCCACUCUUUAAUAGAAUGCAAACUUCUUUCUGCCACAUCACAAUGACUGAAAUAUGUUCUAGACGGUAGAUCAGGUUCACGUUCUCCAUCAACCUUGAGUGCACAUUCAACAUGGAUGCUCUCUGCCUCCGGGAAUGUUUUCUGUACCAAAUAUAAUAGAAAUAGUUGGGUAGCUGUAGCCCCUGGUCUUCCUUUUCGGACAUUCGUUUACAUUCGCACCUGCCUGUAGGACGAAAUCUCAGCAUCAAAGAAAAGAGUUCAGAUGUCGCCACCUACAGGCAGAACAUGAAUUAGUUUCCAGUUACCACACCAGGAGAGGGUCAACUAAGGCAAGGAGGAGCGAAAAAUCACCAAAGCCUUGACUGUGCCGAAGCCUCGGGUUAAGCUGGGGUGAAAAUUGUAACACAAGCGAAGGAGAGGCAAAGGCAACAGUAAUGACCAAAGGAAAAGGCCAAGGAGGAAUGGAGAAAGUGUGGGAGUGAUCAAAUGUGGCUGGUUCUGCAGCAAGGGGAUGAGGGCCCAGUCUCCUGAAAUAAAAUCUCCACAAGAUUUUAAUAAAAUAAUUUGCUGAACCAUGAUAAUUAGAAGACCUAGUUAAUUGAUUUCAUACAUGUUAAAACAUUUUUUCCGAAACUGUCACUCUGUAAAAUAUUACUCUAGACUAGAAUCGCCCCUUUAAAAGACAUUUUAAAAGAUCCCCUUCACUCGUUCGCUCUUUCUUUGAACCAUUAAAGUUAUUAUAUAGCAAGGAGCAAUUUGCAAUAAUUUACUCCCCAAAAAUAAUAUUAAGGUGGCUAUGUACCCAGUGUGUUUGACUUAAGCAAAAGGGUUUCCCUUCCAGGACCUCACGAAUGCACAAGGUUCAAUUUCUGCAGAGCGCUAAUGAACAAGCUGCUCUCCCAGACCGGGCCCCUGCACAGAAUGACUUCAUUCAGGGCUACUGCUCGCGCAUGGAAAGUGUUGGUUAAAAAUCCCACAGAGUUCAGACGACCUUUUCCUAACUCCCCCCGCCCCUUAUUUGUCUUUCUGGUCUAAGCCAGGAGUAACAUAAAUAUUCAUCAGCUGAUGUUCGUAGCUGAGAAGUUAUGAAUGAGGCCACGCGAUGUAGUUCUGACCCCAUCCUCAUUCCGGCAGCUUCUUCAUGUAGCUCCCGGGCAAAGGACACUUUCUGAACUCCCCUUUCUUACUAGAGAGCUUUUUCAGAUUCAGUCCCUUUCCCGUUUAAAGCCCUAAGAAGAAACACUGUCUGCUUAAUGUUUACUCUGGGUUUAUAGAAGAAGAAAAACACCCCCGCUCAGCCAAACUUUAAACCUUUAGAUGCCUUGUCAUAACGGGAGCACGUGUCAGUAGCUCAAAGCAUCAAUGGGUCUAGAGAUGGAUGCCACGGGGGCGGGAUCUUUCUAUCGUACUGUGGCAAGGUCUUUUUUAUAUCAAAUUCCAGACAGAUACCUAGGGCACUUCUUGUUCAAAGAGCAGAGAAAAUAGCCACAGCUUUGAUCUCUGUCUACGGCUUGGCUAAUUAUCCAGACAGGUGUUCAAAAAGGAUGUUGAAAGUUCUUGAAUAACAGCACAUCAAACAGGUCUUCAGUGCUGAGACAAAAUGGGGGCGCGGGGUGGGGGGGGAGAAGCGACUAUGAAGCCUGACAGGCCUGCGGUGUAAUUAGUCUUUCUUUAGUGCACAUUUCCCACAAAUUACUGCUUUUUAUUAUGGACUCCUAAUUUUUUCAGCUUCCAGCUCAUAGGAAUUUCGGUAUAAAGCUGAAUAUGGAAGCAAGAGGCUAUGAUGAUGUUAGCAACCCACCAUCCAGUUGUGAGUAAACCAGAAGCCAGCAUGCUUCCCUAGAGGUGGGUAGGUUUGUCAACACACCACAUUCUGCUUUCAACUGUAUUUUGCUUUCCUUGUCUCUUGGGGAAAUAAUACCUGUAUUAAAUAUUCUCUGGAUAACUCUAGGACUGAGGGAAAUAGGAAGUGUCACUACAAGUGCCAUACAUAGAAAAGGCUUCUGGAACUGUUCUGUGCUAUGUGCUAUGAGCUUUGGGAUAAGCAUAAGGAUCACUAUUUCUCACUGUCAAGGCCCUGUGUUUUUUCUAGGUUUUACCGUGUGCCAUAUCUGACAGUGGAAAUAAUGUCUAGACCACAGAAGCAACGAGAUGGAGAACAGGGUCUCAGGUGUUCAAAUGAGGACCAGAUCCUAAGCUGGCAAGAGGCCUGACUGGGACAGAUACUCACAGCCAGAUUCCUGUCUCGUCUCCAUCCUGGACUCUGCCCCUGCCAAGACCAGAACAGGAGCCAGAGGCAAGCAUUCGACUAUAUUCUCCAUGGCUCCGGUCCUUACCAGAGCAAGGUUGAUGGAGAGCCAUUGGAGGGAGUCACAGGCAAUGACCUGCAGAAAAACUACCCAGGAGACAGCAAUGAUGGAUUGUCAUGCAUACCCAGAGACAGCUGGAAAGCCAGCUGAGUUAGCAAAGGCAAAAAAACCACAUUUCCUCUCCCUCCAUCCCUUGCCCAACACUGAACGUUUCAACCUAAGAGUAACAGAGAACAGAAUUAGGUGUUGAUCUACCUUUGAAACUCUCUCUCUAUAGUGUCAUAUAAGAUCACAAUGUCAAAAAUAUUUCAUUGAUAUACUCCUUGCUUUCUUGGUGUCCAGGAAGAAAGUAGCUUGAUAGUGACCUAGAAAAUCUGCUAACAGAUGAUUCCAUUUCUCUGCCUUGUGUGUAAUCAGCGAACUCAACGGAGAAGACUUCAGAUUGGCUGAGGACCUCCAUAAGCGCAGUUCACAGUACCAGGGUGGCAUUAGGAUUUGAAGGCUCCAUUGUGCCAGCUAUUUCCAGUUCUUCUGUGAAUUCCCUUCAUUGUUUGCUGGUCUUGCGAGCCUUCCCUCAUGUACCUUCCUUGCUCCAUAUAAUGCCUUCAGCCACACUUGUGGAGGCCACACUUCUUCCAUUGUAAAGUUGGUAAUUUUUUAAAUAAUACUCACCUGAAAUGUUUAGUUUUAUUUAGACUGAUUAAGACAGUUAUUCUGGGGAUUUGCAUGAAUAGAUUUUUUUCAUUUCUUAUAACUCAAUCUUGUUUUUAUUGUCUUAAAGCUUAUCAGUUAUCAUUGAUUCUGCUACUGUCGGUUGACUGACCUUGGCUAAGUCAUACCCUUUCUGGGUAAGUUUCUUAAACUGCAGAUGAACGGGCAAAAGUGUAGAGUUUUCAUAGUGUCCACAGAACCCCAGCCCUUCCCUCUGUUGUGUCUUUAUCCAAAGCUUUCAUAAUAAAUACUUGGGCUGGGGAAAGUAAUUAACUUCUUGAAUCAACUCGGUAGCUGAUGUGUCUUAUACAAGACAUCGAACACAAGACUCAAUGUUAAAUUUAUGGGAUUGAUUUAGGUACACCAAGAAGAAAACAAACAAGAUGGUAAAUUUGAAAGAAAGAGAAAAUUUGCUUUACUAUAUGUCUAUCAUUUCAUGACCUCAAAUUGACAUGCUCAUUCUGGGUCACUGAUGGGAGACUGAGUGAAUGAAGAAAAAGAUAAUUUAAUGAGACCUCGGGCUAGCUCCCGCACAUUGUAAUUUUCUAGUUGUCGAGGGAUGAUGCAUUCACAAGGUGCCAUAAGAUUAUCGUCAGAGAAUAAAUGCGUCCUCUUUUGGUAUCUAUAAAUGGGGAAUUAAUUCUAGACCCUCCAUAGAAACUAAAUUGCACAGAUAUUCAAGUCCCUUUGAUAAAACGGCAUGGGGUUUGCACAUAAACCAUGCUUACUGUCUAAUAUGUUUAAACCCAUCUCUAUUACUAACAACAUGAUAAAAUACAAAGGCUUUACAGUCAUACUGUAGUAUUUUGGAGAAGGCAAGAAAAAAUGUGCACACAUUCCAUGCAGGCACAGCUUGGCUUGUCCUGUGGGGGUUUGAGUCCGUAGGUGUGGAAUCUACCAAUACAGAUAGUUAAUUGUAUGUUUCCAAAAUUUCUUUUUCAAAAUGGAGAUAUAGCCAGAAAACAGGAUUUGGUUUGUAAAAUGGCACAAAGAGACGGUUUGCCAGGUCUAACACACACACAUAUACCAGUGCAGAGUGCCAAGUUAAACUUGAAUCUCACAUAACAAGUGAUAUUUUGAAAGCCAAAACAUUACUUGGGAUAUAUUUUCACUACAAAUUUCAUUGUUCCUAUAGCGUACCUACGGUUUUGUUGCCAGUAAAGUGGUCAUACAUUGGGAACAGCAUGAGCUCUGCUGUUCCCUGGUCAAUACUGAGCAUCCAGAGGGUCACAUAGAAAUUAGUACUUCUUCUUCCUGCCCACAUAUGGCAGGUCAAGAAAGAAAUAAGUGGUCCGUAUGAGUUCUGUUUCCUCAUUAUCAUGAGUGGGAGAUGGAAAAAAAUUAAGUGACGUUUUCUUCAUAACAAAUACAGGAGAUAGGAAUGGCAGAUAGCUGAACAUCUCACUACAGGAGACUAUUGGGUCUGUGACUCAAAAGCACCAAGGCAACACUCUAGAGGAACGAGAUUGGAAAAUCCAAAGUAUCAUUGCUGCUUUCAAACCAUGUUACCUCAAACCCUGUAGCACCCACCGUGCCAUGGCUACAGCUUGGGGAUUUGCCUAUUCCUGUGGUUUUUCUAAGGCAUUCAUCCUUUCUCUUGACUUAGUUCAAACUGUGUCUUAUUGCCAACAAAUCACCAUGAGUUCCAAAAUCUCACCUGGGCAUCAUUUGUUCAUCAUCAUGCUGAAAUGUGAUUUUUUCAGAGCAUUGAAGAGAUGUUGAUUAUGCCUCUUGUUUUAAGAUGACUCAAGCAUGGGAUGACCAUGCAUCCCAUACCUUUGCCCCAUUUACCUGGCUAAAGAAUUCUUUCUCUGGCCUGUGUCAAGAAUGCAUAUUGAUACAUGACUGGCAUGCUCCAAGGAUGUGAAAAUUCUGUCACUUUGUUGAAUUUCUGUUGCUUAUCAAACUCAAUUUGAUGUUUACUGGAGAAUCAAAGGACUUUUAAAUAUCAGAAUCUAUAUUUAAGAAAACCAUACUCCUUAAUAUUAUUACAUUAUCAUUUCUAUUUCUUAUUGUCAAUCAAAUAAACUCACAGUGACACUUUGUGAUCAUAAAGUCUCAUUUGUACUUUCAGAAUAAUGUAUAAAAUCAGCGUUCUUUCUUCAAGUUGUCUGGUUUUAAGUUCUUAAGUUAACGACAAUGGAAACUUACCAUCCUAAGUUAAAUAUUAAAACAGUGAAAAGCAAUGCAAGGAAUAGUUCAUCCUAAUGCGGGGGGGGGGGCACUAUCAAGAACGCCAAAGCCUGGGUGACAGCUCCUGGUCCACUCUUCAUUAUUGCAUGAUCCUGGUGUUCAGAGAGAGAGAUCUGGGGCACAGAAGCAAGCUCUGAAAAAUCAUAGAUCAUGCACACAACACUGCCCCUCCCAGGCUUCCUGGCAUCCUCCAGUGAAACUUUUAAAAUAUCUGUAUUAAUUGAAUAUUGUUUUAGUAACUGUCACUGUGAGAUAUCUUAUGAUCAAGACAAUUAUUGAUUUCACUGAACUGUUUCCAUGUUGUGACCUGGUUCUGAAUAUGACCAUUUCUUAGAUUCAAGUAUCUGUAAUUUUGCUUCCCAACUCAUAGACCAGGGAACACCCAACCAUGAUGAAUACAGAAUGGGAAAGCAGACUGACUUUUACACUGGGGAAGAGUACUAGAGAUCACUGGCUUGCGUUUGAUUUCUGAUCAACAGUCAAACACUUCAAGGAUCACAAGAGCAUGAGAUGUACUGAAAGUAAUAAGAUAAAUUCUUUGAAAGGUAAAGAAAAUGCUCUUUGAAAUUAAAUUAAUCAAAUUAAAUCUUUGAAUGAUGUGAGUCGUAUUCCCUUCUCACUGUAGCUUGCACUCGUACCAUUUUCCUUUUAUUGGACAAGUUAAAAAUCACAGGAAGACUGAACGUGUAGCAUCAAGAAGGUAUGUGCUUGGGGAAAUUAAUAGAGAAUGUGUGGUUGAGAUCCAUUCAAAACAUAUGCUCUCUCCUUCACUUCCAAAAGUAGCAGAGAAGAGCGUCCAAAGUAGAUAUGCUAACAAGUGUUUAGUAGAGGGACAAGAUUCUCAUUUCUGAGCUCUUGGUGUGGCUGCUUCAAAGCAGAGGCAGUUGAAACAUGCAUGCCCCAUGCCCUUUAACUGCUGCCUUCCUGAGGAGAGCCAUAACCCUGGGAGGAGCCUGGCUUCCCAGAGCCUUUCCCUCCCUGUUUCUCUGUUUACACAUGCAUCAUUUUCUCCAUCAUUUGCCUGCCUGGUACAGGAUGGACAAGGGAUGGCCAAAGAGCUGAAGGCCAAUCAAAUAACCCAGAAUAAAUUGUUAACAGACCUAGACUAAGAUCAGCCAAGAAACAUUUAUCUAAAAUGAUGCUUGGGAGAAAAUCUGUAGAUUUCAUUGCAUUUGUGUUUACUUGACAACAAAGCCUGUGGUCUAUUUAGUGGAGAGUGGACAAGUAACUUGUUUUUGCCGUUGUGUGGACAAAUCCACCAGCUGAUCCAAUGGCUGCCUUUCAAAUGUAUUCAUUCUGGCUUUUGUAUACACUGUCUUGGCCUAAUUGUGACUAUUUAAGAGUUUCAUGAAAUAAAUCAUUUUAGUCCUUUUCUUUGAUGGAUUGAGGUUUUACUUAUGACUGAGUCUUAAGUGUGGUUAUUGCUGUCGUUGUUGGUAUGUGUUUGGGAAUAUUGAAAACAGUGAAUCUUAACAGUGUUCAGUCAAAUGACGAGAGUUUUUUCAAAAACUUUCUUUUUAUUCCUUACUGCUUUAAAAAAAAAGUACUACUUAAAACAGGGGUAUUCAAACCAUGACACAGAUUAUAUUUAAACACACACUUCAAAUUUUUCAAAAGACUGUCGCAUACUACUCUUUAAUGUUUAUAUUGGAUGUGUUAUAGCUUGGAUCUAGACACUCCACGAAGUCAUAUAUAAAAGUCAUAGAAAAAGGUUCAGUUGUUAUUUUGUGGCACCAUCAGUAAAUGCAUCAUUAAAAAGAUGUGUCUCCCUUGGAGACUUUCAGAGACUGAAUCACCAACCAAGUAUGAACUUGACCUAGCCCCCACACAUAUGCUGCAGAUGGGCAGCUUAGUCUUCAUAAGGGUCUCCCAACAACUGGAGGGGAGCUGUCCCUGAAUUCAUUGCCUGUCUAUGGAUCCUAUUCUUCUAACUUGUCCACCUUAUCUGGAGAGAGGAUGUUCUUAGUCCUGCAGUAACUGAUGUGCGGGGGUUGGGUGGGGGACCACACCAGAGGAAGACUCCCCUUUCUCAAAGGAGAAGGGGAGGGGAAAACAGGGAAGAAGCUGUGAGGGUGGGACUGGGAAAAGGAGGGCUGAUAUUGGGGUGUAAAGUAAAUUAAUUAUCAAAAGAGAAAUGGCUCUACUAAAAAUUGUUUAUUUUGGUUUUCCCAGGACAUGCUGCUUCCACCCAGUGCAAAAUAGGACCAGAUAAUUGUGAAAUGCAGUCUGUGCAAUGAGGAGCCAAUGUGUCUUCCCUUCUUAUAGGCUGGUUAUCUCGGGUAUCUUACUACAACAACAAAUGGCUAACUAUGCAAUAGAAUUAGAAUAUAAGCUGAUGUUGGAAAAGAGAUUGAAUCUUGACUUGGGGAGAGUUAUGGUCUAUUACUAGGUUUUAAUCUUUAGCUGAGACUUGCUUGUUUAUACUAAGACUGUUAAUAUAGCAUGAAUGAAUAAAUAAAUGUAAGACCAAAAAAUGUUUUCAAUUUGAGUAAUGUUACUUGUACCUUAUGAUAAAGAAUUUUUUAGAUACCAAAUAGGAGCCAGAAUUCCCUAGAGAAUGAUUUCACACAAGCUCCUAUUUUGCCAUUUGAAAUACUCAGUUGGGCAUUCUUCCUAUUGUCUGACCUACGCUUUCAUUCUUAAGUUUCUAAGGUCUGUCAUCACAACACAGGUCACGUGUUCUUACUCCUACUUUGGUAACAGCUUACACAUACAUUGUUACUUACGGUUUGUCAUCAUGUCCUACUGGUCAAUGAUAUUACUAGACACGUAGACAAUGAGAUCUAACAUCCAGGAUUGUUUUAUUAAAAUAAUGGGUCCUUUCAGUGUGUGGACUGAAGAUAUUAGACAAAAUUCUUGCUUUUGUUUCAGUGAAUCAUAACUAAAAGUCUAAAACCUAAUCAAGGAAACAACCAAAAACCAAAGCUACUUGAAAACAACUUCCCUUCCAAAUAAUUUUAAAAUAUAAUUACAUGUAUUAUUUCAAUUGAUACUCUUAUGUGCAAAUAUCUUAUACAUCAUAUUUUAUUUAUUCUUAUAGUUUAUAUACCUAUGAUAUGGGAAUCAGCUGUGAUAAGUCCAAAAGCUACAUUAAAAUCAUUCCCUGCAACUGCCUGGAGUAGUCAUGCAGCAGAAUGAGUUCAUUUCAACUAAUCUUGAAACUGUUCAAUUAAUUUUCUUUUGUUCCUAACAUGGACCUCAACUUCUAGUUCUAUGCCCUUUACUGAUGACCCAUUAGAUACAUAUGACUACUUAAAUUUAAAUGAACUAAAAUCAAAUAAAGAAUAUAAUCAUUAAUAAUUCCCAAGUGUUCAAUAGCCACAUCUGUUAUUCUACCAGGAAGAACAUAUAAAAUAUUUCCCUCAUUACAAAACAUCCAAAGGGUCACAUGCAGUUGGUUUGCUCAUCAAAAAUUUCUUAAAAUGUUUGUCAUCAUGGAAUAAGUGCCCAACAAUUUGCAAAUAAUAAUUAUAUUACUGUUGCUAUAUGAGUCAAAAUGUAUAUUAAUAAUUAAAAUUAGACAUAUCCAUGUUGCUUCUCAUAUAUUUAAAUUAAAUAUAUAAAAUUAAACACGGGGUAGGCUGUUUUGUUACAAACUUACAUUUUGCAACAUUUUCAGCAUGAACUCCUAGCUGGAAUUUUGAAACCCAAAGUCACAGAAAUGGCCUUCUACCUAGCAGGUUUUGGAGGUGAGAAGACAUUAAGAACACAAGUCUGCUUCUUUUGAUGAAAUUAGUUGUUCUAAGACAACCUAAAAUGUUUGCAGAAAGAGUAUGACCCCAGAAUAUUAGCACUGAGGGGCAGGAGUGUCGAGAAAAAAUUUAAACAUGUAGAAGCCCAUAGAAUGUAGCCAUUCUUCUAGUUAAGAGUUGUCAGUGAAUCCAGGAACUGAGUGCAUCAGAACAGGGCCAGAACACAGGGAAGAUGGGAAGUAACUGCCGAAUGCCAGCAUUGCUGACACAAAGGUAUGUGUUCAGUACUAUGACAGCAUAGAAAAUCACUCACAAAAUCGGGAGAAAGGGGAAAAGUAGGUGCUAGACUCUCAUUACUUCCUCACAGCAGUAACUCAACCAAUGUGGCCCAAAAUUGAAAUGUGUGUGCCAUAAACCAAAAUUACCCCUAGCUCUUAGGUUUUUAUAAUUUUAAAAUAUCCAGGUUAUGCAUAUUAUCUCCUUUCAAAGAAAAACAUUUUAAUUUUGAAUCCUUUAUAUUUCAUGUCCUCUUCUACUAAACUCAAACUAAAUAAAAAUGAACAUUUUACUUAAAUAUAAUAUUCAAUGUGAAACCCUAGUUUAGUAAAGACAGCUCUAUCUGUCCAUACAGCUGAUAUCUCUUAAAUAUCCCCAGCAGUAUCUGAGACAUUACCUCUAACACAAUAGGUUAUUUUCAUGUGUUAAAAUGGUUAUUUUUAUUCUUCACUGUUGCAUUGUUUGAAUUUUUAAAUAAUUGUUUUUACCACAACGUCAAUGUCUUAUAAGUAAACAUGAAAUGCACAUUGGCACGCAUUAAAUUACCUCCCCUAUUACUAGUGACUGCUAAUAAGAUUUUUUUCUUUUAAGAUUGUUUUACAAGUCACAAUACAUUUUCUUCAUUUCUCCCUGCUAGUUUCAUAAUAACCCAUGUGUUAGGCAGACGCUGGUCUUAGAUUCACAGCUGAGACUGGAGGGGCCUCAGGUUGAACUGCGGUUCGCAGGCCCAGGCACUCAGGUCGUCAAGAUCCUAAUACAGGGUUUCCUGGCACAUUGGCCUUGGUCUUCAAGCAGUGACUGUGAUAAGGAAAUGUAGUAUAUGCCGUAAAGGCCCUUCCUGUAUAGGAUAAAGACCCUUCCUGUAUAGGAUCCAACACUAAGGAGAUACCACUGUUAGGAACAAAUGCAAAUUCAACUGCAAAGUAUAACAAAUCAGCCCUAAAGAUGAACGACAAAACUAAGCAAACCAGGUAGGAAGCUGGGCCUCAUAGAGCCUUUCCCCCAGCCAUGCUGAGUCAAAGGAAACGAUGAAAUCAGGCAUGUUGCUUAUAAAGACUCCACCCCUCAUCUCGGCAUCUGGAAUUCCCCAAUUCCUGACUUCUAGAAGGAACUGGGAAAUUUUCAGUUGAACAUUGUCAUUAUCUAAGUUCAGAAAAGUAUCCUUAGAGAAGCAAACAGGAAAUGAUUUGUUUGAAAAAGCAUCCCUUUCUUUUCCCUUGGCUGUCUAUGGAGAACCAGAUUGAGGAGAAAAGAGCUCUAUUGCACAAGUUAGAUUUGGAAAGAACAGGAAAUUCUAUCUCUUAAAACAGAUAAAAAUUUUCCAUCCUAUAAACAUAUAAUGAUGACCUGCUAUCACUUGAGUUAACAUAGCACCUAAAAUAGUCACCCUGAAAUAUUUCUAUAAUUGCCAAAUGACAGAGUGCACACUAUGAAAGAGUCCAAGGUCAGAGUGUGUCCCCCAUCUCUAUGUAAUACGAAACCUUCAUAUUUUCAUGCACAGACUUUAUUUUGUUGCUAUGCAACUUACAUGCAACACAGGGCAUGUAAAUAAAUUAUGGAUUCUACAGAGAAAGAAAAAAAUCCUUUCUUCUUCUUUGAGAACAAGUCACAACUUCCUUUCAUGCUAUCCUAAUGCACCACAGCCUUUUCAAGCUGUUUCACAAACACCAAGGUUUGGGCCAGAUAAACAAUCAAAUGAAUAACACAGCUAGGAUACAGAUGCAGUUUGCAAACUGCACGCUAAGCAGCAUCUGUCCCACUACACUCAGCCCAACAGGCCUGAGAACUGGGUACCCAAGCUUGGUAGUAAGGAGGAAGUUUAUUUCACACCCACACUCUUCCAGAUAGUAGAAUAUAAGCAAGCUUAAGCAAAGGAAAUUCUGGAGAUUUCUAUUGGCAGCCAUCCCAAGCUAUUCAGGCUCCAGGCAUGACUCUGUAUCAGGUGGAAGAAGUGUUUCGGCCCUGACAGAAACACAGCUAUGAUAAGAAGAUGUUAUGGGGCAGAGGUGGAGUGGGGGAGGGCACUUAGUGAUCUUCAACCAGAUGUCAGCCCCAUCUACAUAGAACAUGACCAUCUCAGUGUUCAAACUGAAUAGAUUUUCCAGGAAAAAGCAUAAACUGAUAGCGCAUGGGCAUUAAUGCAAAGCAGAGGCAACUUCCGGGGGGAGUGAAAGAACUUGUAAACAACCCAGGCGCCUACCAAUGGAAGAAGUGAUCACUGUGCUGUGGCAAAGUCUCACAAUGGAUCAGGGCAUACUAUAGAUCAAUAAAUAAAAGUAGCUGCUGAUAGAUGAGCUCCACAUGGAGUGAGCAGAAGACUGCAAAUACCCAAGCAUAUCCCAUAAGGUUUGCAUCACGUGAUCUUCAGCAGCUCCUAUCAGCAGUCCUUGGCCACAGACACCAAUGCCGUUUACUUCUGAAAGGCAGGGUUCUGUGAGGAAGAUGGACAUUUUCUACAUCAGGAUCUACAGGUGACCCUACGGUUGUAUAAAAUGUAUCCACCCACACACUUGUCUUUACAGCUCUACAUGCUCCCUGUAGGUAUUCGAUGCCUCAGUCAACUAUAAAAUAAAACGGGAAGAAUCAACCGUGAAGAGAGUGCCUGGCAUUUCUAGGUGCCAUAUGGCCUGUCCCUACAGCUUACACUCAUUGACCUCGCUGGAUGAGAAGACGCCGCUCAUAGGCACAGAAGUCUGCUUUGUCACGUCCAAGUUGUUAGGAUUCAGGUUAUGGUUUGUAGAACACUGUCCUACUGCACUGUGGUCUAGAUCACACAACAGACAAGGAGGCAGCCUAACGAAACCAUUUUUUCUUUCCUCCCCAAGAUUUACAAAACCUCAGAGAACAGAUGAGGAUUAAACAGUAUGCAUACAUAUGCAUAUACACAUGUGCCAAAAGCCCCAAGGCACAGCAUGAUUGUAUAUGAUGUUUGCGUUUUGUGUAUAUGUUUAAUAAGAAACUUAAUUUUUAAAAAAAAAAUCAGAAACAGAAAAGACAAUCAAAAUUUAUUGGCAGGACUCCUGGGAAGGGAUAUGCGAAGGACACAGUCCAUGCUUGUCUCAAUCAUUCCUGUAUCCUUAUUGUUUCCAGUGAAUCUGACCCCUCUCUUAAAAAAGAAGAAACAACUCUAUCUUUCUGGUUUUGGAAAAUCUGUCCAACAUGAGGUUUCACACAUGCUCUAGCUCCUAAAACAGAAAAAGGAAUCUACAUUCCAUAGUUCUGACCUUACACAAAAUUAUAGGCAAUGUGCACAUCUCUAGCGAUUCUCAUUGGAAUUUGAACAAACCUUUCUUGUGGAGCUUCACUUCCUAAGCCACUAUCAACAUCUUAGGAUGGCAUCGUCCAACAAUGUAGCCACGAUGGAUAUCACUCACUAAUAGCAAGGGUAUUUACUAACCAGUUGGGAAUACUUCUUCACUGAUUAACUAGCAAGUAACAGCAUGAUAUGAAAUGAAGAUGAUGUCACUUACUCCUCACAGGGAAAGAUGAAAAGAUAAAAGCCGACUACCCCAUCUUUAUCAGAGUAAAGGACUGUGUUUUAAUCUAG